ACAACUCAAUAAUUUUUUACACCCUAAACACCUAGCCUUUUCUUUUCCAUCUACAAUACCAGCUUUUUCAAAAUAUCUCCAUGCAUCUGAGGUUAAGGCCUUCCCACUUUUUGGUUCUGGUUGAGAGGUUAGAGGCAUACACUUUUUUGUUCUGAUUGAGAAGCAUUUGUACUCUCUUUCUCUUGUACAUUUCCACUGGUAUUUUGUGUAACUCCGACAGAGGUUUCUAAUAUCUCACAAUCACCAACACUGGAAUCCAUAAUAUGCAAACCUGUAAAGAUGAAGAAACAUUCAUCAAUAUAAAUGGGAAUGUAAAAAUGGAUAUGAAAGCUGUAAAAAUGGGAAUGAAACAUUGCAUAAUACUACAAAAUGGAAUAGUGUCUAAAAGCUGUAAAAAUGCACAAACCCCAAAUCAUGAAUAGCGUGUAUAUAUCAAACAUCCAAUAAUGAAAUCAAAAGAAGAAACCAUUUUGGGUACCAAUCAAUAAUUCUCAUAUGAAAUUAGUAUUAUUUCUAGGUUGAACACAAGCUUAUUAUAUAAAACAGGAGCAUGAAAAGUUGAAGGUUAAAAGAGUGGAUUGAACAUGAAAAGUUAAAAAUUAAAAGAGUAGAUUGAGCAUGAAAAUGAAGCAAGUUGUGAGUCUAUGAUGUAACCUGGGUGAAGCACUGAAGCUGACGAAUGGAGACUGGAGAGUGAAAGAUUAAAGUGUGAAAUGUUGGUGUUGAUGUUGUUAUUAUUGUGAAAUGUGAAACAAGCCUCGCCCAAGCGAGGGAAUGGUCGCUCAAGCCAUAAUUCAGAGGAAAAUCACCAGAAAACAUUGAUAUCCCUCGCCCAAGCGAUGGACUCUCGCCCAGACGCUAUUUCAAGACAAAAAACUUGAUGUUCACUAUUUCUCCCUCGCCCAAGCGAGGUGAUUAGACA
rnacentral:lncRNA from 1 species